rnacentral:rRNA from 1 species
GACGAACGCUGGCGGCGUGCUUAACACAUGCAAGUCGAACGGAAAGGCCCUGCUUUUGUGGGGUGCUCGAGUGGCGAACGGGUGAGUAACACGUGAGUAACCUGCCCUUGACUUUGGGAUAACUUCAGGAAACUGGGGCUAAUACCGGAUAGGAGCACCUGCUGCAUGGUGUGGGCUGGAAAGUUUCGGCGGUUUGGGAUGGACGCGCGGCUGAUCAGCUUGUUGGUGGGGUAGUGGCUUACCAAGGCUUUGACGGGUAGCCGGACUGGGAGGGUGACCGGCCACAUAGGGACUGAGAUACGGCCCAGACGCCUACGGGGGGCAGCAGUGGAAAAUAUUGCAAGAUGGGCGGAGGGCUGAUGCAGGAACGCCGCGUGCGGGAUGACGGCCUUCAGGUUGUAAACCGCGUGCGCCUGUGACGAAGAGUGAGUGACGGUAAUGGGUAAAGAAGCACCGGCUAACUACGUG